rnacentral:tRNA from 1 species
CUUAGCUCAGUAGGUAGAGCAACUGACUUGUAAUCAGUAGGUCACCAGUUCGAUUCCGGUAGUCGGCACCA